rnacentral:lncRNA from 10 species
GGGAAGGCAGCUAAGGCCCGGCGAGAAAUCGAGGGCAGCGCCGGUGGGCUGGCACUGCUGGGGGACCCAGUAUACCCUCCGCAGCCGCUGGCCCGGGUGCUAAGCCCCUCAUUGCCCGGGGCCGGCAGGGCCGGCCGGCUGCUCGGAGUGCAGGGCCCAACAAGGCCACGCCCACCCGGAACUCCAGCUGGCCUGCAAGCGCCGCCCGCAGCCGCGGUUCCCGCCGGCGCCUCUCCCUCCACACCUCCCUGCAAGCUGAGGGAGUGGGCUCCGGCCUUGGCCAGCCCAGAAAGGGGCCCCCACAGUGCAGCGGUGGGCUGAAGGGCUCCCCAGGUGCAUCCAAAGUGGGAGCCCAGGCAGAGGAGGCGCCGAGAGCGAGAGAGGGCUGUGAGGACUGCCAGCACGCUGUCACCUCUCAGAACCAGGGGAGAAACCUGAGAAGUGUCUUUCAGCACACUACCUGGAUCCUAAUGGCUACUUCUGCAGAGAGAACACCAGAGGGGAAAGGAAUCUAUCAGAAGGCAAGGUGAGUUUCUAUAACUGGAAGUUCUUUUCCUUCACUAUUUCUUUUUGAGUCAAUUUUUCUUCUCCAAGAAACUUUCAAAAUAUAUUCACUUCACUUGUCCCCAGUCUAACUUAGAUGUCAUUUCUCUGGACAUCUUACAAGGAGUAUCUUUUUCAAAGUACUUAUGACUAGAAAUUUAACUUUUGAGGUCACUUUUUGCCUUCCUAAUUACACUGUAAGAAUUUUUC